rnacentral:rRNA from 1 species
AGCGAACGCUGGCGGCAGGCUUAACACAUGCAAGUCGAGCGGGCGUAGCAAUACGUCAGCGGCAGACGGGUGAGUAACGCGUGGGAACGUACCUUUUGGUUCGGAACAACCCAGGGAAACUUGGGCUAAUACCGGAUAAGCCCUUACGGGGAAAGAUUUAUCGCCGAAAGAUCGGCCCGCGUCUGAUUAGCUAGUUGGUGAGGUAACGGCUCACCAAGGCGACGAUCAGUAGCUGGUCUGAGAGGAUGAUCAGCCACAUUGGGACUGAGACACGGCCCAAACUCCUACGGGAGGCAGCAGUGGGGAAUAUUGGACAAUGGGCGGAAGCCUGAUCCAGCCAUGCCGCGUGAGUGAUGAAGGCCCUAGGGUUGUAAAGCUCUUUUGUGCGGGAAGAUAAUGCGGU